rnacentral:lncRNA from 1 species
AAUCCCAUUGACCCCAAAAUCCCCCUUUUUCAACCCAAAAUCCCCCUCAAAAAUCCCCAUUUCUGACCCCAAAAUCCCCCUUUUUCACCCCAAAUCUCCCCAUUCUUGACCCCAAAAUCCCCCAUUUUCACCCCAAAAUCCCAUUGACCCCAAAAUCCCACUUUUUGACCCCAAAACCCCCACCCAAAAUCCCCUUUUUCACCCCAAAUCCCAUUGACCCCAAAAUCGCCCUUUUUCAACCCAAAAUCCCCCUCAAAAAUCCCCAUUUCUGACCCCAAAUCCCCCUUUUCUGACCCCCAAAUCCCCUUUUUUCACCCCAAAAUCCCAUUGACCCCAAAAUGGCCCUUUUUCAACCCAAAAUCCCCAUUUCUGACCCCAAAAUCGCCCUUUUUCACCCCAAAUCUCCCCUUUUCUGACCCCAAAAUCUCCUUUUUCACCCCAAAAUCCCAUUGACCCCAAAAUCCCCCUUUUUGACCCCAAAAUCCCCCCACAAAAGCCUCUUUCUGACCCCAAAACCCCAUUGACCCCAAAUCCCCUUUUCUGACCCCAAAAUGGCCCUUUUUGACCCCAAAACCCCAUUGACCCCAAAAUCCCCCUUUUUCAACCCAAAAUCCCCCUCAAAAAUCCCCAUUUCUGACCCCAAAUCCCCCUUUUCUGACCCCAAAAUCCCCCUUUUUCACCCCAAAUCUCCCCAUUAUUGACCCCAAAAUCCCCCUUUUUCACCCCAAAAUCCCCAUUUCUGACCCCAAAAUCCCCCUUUUUCACCCCAAANNNNNNNNNNNNNNNNNNNNNNNNNCAGAAAUGAGUUGGGGUGCAGAAAUGGGGAGUGGUGUUGGUGAGGGGGAUUGUGGGUUGAAAAAGGGGGAUUUUGGGGGUCAAUGGGGUUUGGGGUGAAAAAGGGCGAUUUGGGUCAAGAAUGGGGAGUUGUUGGGGUGAAAAAAGGGGGAUUUGGGGUCAGAAAAAGGGAUUUUGGGUCAGAAAAUGGGGAUUGGGGUCAAAAGGGGAAUUUUGGGGUCAAUGGGUUGGGGUUGAAAAAGGGGAUUUUAGGUCAAUGGAUUUUGGGUGAAAAAGGGGGGAUUUUGGGGUCCAAACCAAGGGGAUUUUGGGGUCAGAAAUGGGGAUUUUUGAGGGUGAAUUUGGGUUUGAAAAAGGGGGGAUUUGGGGGUCAAUGGGAUUUUGGGGUGAAAAAGGGCUGUUUGGGGUGAAACGGGGAUUUGGGGUCUGGGUCAAAAAGGGGGAUUUUGGGUCCAAUGGGGUUUUGGUGAAAAAGGGAUUUGGGGUCAAUGGGAUUUUGGGGGUCAAUGGGAUUUUGGGUCAAAAAGGGGUUUUGGGGUCAGAAAUGGGAUUUUUGAGGGGGAUUUUUGGGUUGAAAAGGGGAUGUGGGGUCAUGGGAAUUUUGGGGUGAAAAGGGGGAUUUUGGGGUAAGAAUGGGGAGAUUUGGGUGAAAAGGGGGAAUUUUGGGGUCAAGAAAAAGGAUUUUGGGUGAAAAAGGGGGAUUUUGGGGUCACAUCCCCCCUAAUUAAUGAGUCUUAAUUAACUCCCCCUCAUUAAUUAUGCAUGGACUUAAUUAACAUAUGGCCCAAAUUAACGAGCCAGGCUCCAUGCAUGAUCCCAAUUAAUGCCCCUGUUAAUUAAUUACCCCCCAAUUAAUGCCCCCCUUAAUUAAUUACCCCCCUAAUUAGUGCCCCCCUUAAUUAAUUACCCCCCUAAUUAAUGCCCUCAUUAAUUAUCACCUUAUUUCUCCCCCCUCCUUGAUCUUAAUUAACUUUCCCCUUUUGCUGUCAAUUAAUUAACCGGUUAAUUAAUCAAUUAAUUAAUCUAUUGGCCCCGCUUGGCAUUAAUUAAUCCUCCCCACCCGCCGCUAAUUAUCCCGGCUGCGCUCUUAAUUAAUUAAUUGCCCCCCAUUGACCCCCAUUGACUCCCAUUGACUCCCAUUGAUCCCCAUUGAUCCCCAUUGAUUCCCAUUGAUCCCUAUUAAACCCCAUUGACCCCCAUUGACCCCCAUUGAUCUCCAUUGAACCCCAUUGAUCCCCAUUGAUCCCUAUUAAACCCCAUUGACCCCAUUGACCCCAUUGACCCCAUUGCCUCCAUUGACUCCCAUUGAUCCCCAUUGAUCCCCAUUGAUCCCUAUUAAACCCCAUUGACACCCAUUGAUCCCCAUUGAUCCCCAUUGACCCCCAUUGCCCCCCAUUGAUCCCCAUUGCCCCCCAUUGAUCCCCAUU